rnacentral:lncRNA from 1 species
UUUGAAUCUGGAGAAGUCAGAGAGAGAGAGAGAGAGAGAGUUAAAAAAUAGGCUGAAUUUUUUUAAUACAAGAGUUCAGUUAUUUCGAGAGUAAAAAAACAAAAGAAAGUUGCUUCUUUACUGUCGAAAUUAGUAUUUGUUAUUGUUAUUGCUUCAUUGCUGUUUCUGAUUGGUAUUUCUGGGGUGUCAGUUGUUUGCUUCUGAGUUUGCUAUUUGGUUAUUUGUUACUUUUUCCUUGGGGUAUUGCUGAAAUUCUGCUGGUUUUAUUAAACUUUGUUACUGGACUGUUCUGUUUCCGUUAUUAUUGUUGUUGCUGUGUUGCAUACUACUCUGCUGAUUUUCUUCUUCUUUUGCUUCCAAUACAAGGUACAUUGCUGUAGCCUUAUCGAUAUCGUAAGCUAAAAUGUGAAAGCAUGAACACGUAUGAAGAAUGGAACUUUGAAGUUUAAAUUUAGCUUUUUCUUUGUUUCUUUUACUGACUGUAUUUAGGUUAUUUCACGUAUUACUAUUCCGUGAAUUUUUGUCGCUUCGCAUAACUAGGCAUCUUAUAGUGAUGUAUUAAAUAAUAAUCUGCUUUAGUCUGUUAUUAGGUAGUAAAUAUGUUUAAGCAAGCUCAUUACUGUCGAACUGUUUAAUAAUUGGAAUAAGAGGAAAAUAACAUAAGUUGGUCUUCAGUGAAUCGACUUGGCAAAACUGGUUAGUUCACUAGCUAUGAAGUUUUUAAUAUUAUCAACAGUAGGUUAAUCGCGAACAUGCAGCUAAAUUUAGUUAAAGCAUGAAUUUAAAUUAAUUUCGUGAAUUAGGCAUUAUGGCAUGAUUUGAGUUCAAACAAG